AGAGUUUGAUCCUGGCUCAGGAUGAACGCUGGCGGCGUGCUUAACACAUGCAAGUCGAGCGAAGCACUUUUUAGAACUCUUCGGAGGGAAGAGAGGGUGACUUAGCGGCGGACGGGUGAGUAACGCGUGGGCAACCUGCCUUACACAGGGGGAUAACAAUUAGAAAUGAUUGCUAAUACCGCAUAAGACCCCAGUACCGCAUGGUACAGGGGUAAAAACUGAGGUGGUGUAAGAUGGGCCCGCGUCUGAUUAGGUAGUUGGUGGGGUAGAAGCCUACCAAGCCGACGAUCAGUAGCCGACCUGAGAGGGCGACCAGCCACAUUGGGACUGAGACACGGCCCAAACUCCUACGGGAGGCAGCAGUGGGGAAUAUUGCACAAUGGGGGAAACCCUGAUGCAGCGACGCCGCGUGAGUGAGGAAGUAUUUCGGUAUGUAAAGCUCUAUCAGCAGGGAAGAAAAUGACGGUACCUGACUAAGAAGCCCCGGCUAACUACGUG
rnacentral:rRNA from 1 species